rnacentral:ncRNA from 1 species
AACAAGAAUAAAUACUCCGAGUCCACUGUCCUGUGGCAAGUUGCUAUGGCGGUCGGAUCGAUAGGGUGUACCUGGAAACGGAUGCGCCUCCCAGUGCGGAAAGGAGAUUACGGCAAGGCUUGC